AUCACCUCUUCCCAACAGCGAAUAUCACACCGUUUUGUCUCUUGGAUUUGCCAACCUCCGACGCAGAAAGCCAAAGAAUCGACUGUGCAACCUUCCCAAAACGUAUAAAGCGGCUGUUCCUUGCACAAGUUGAAAGAUCACUUAUAAAGGACAUGGACAGAAGCGUCAGUCCCGUAAUGCGGAGAAGCGAUGAAUACCUUGUUGAGAAGGCUAAGCACAUAUUCUAAGCCUCAUGAACCUUUUUGGGGAAUUUUGAC
rnacentral:lncRNA from 1 species